rnacentral:hammerhead_ribozyme from 1 species
AUCCAGCUGACGAGUCUUGACUAGAACGAGACACGCGUCGUGGAU